rnacentral:rRNA from 1 species
ACCUGCGGAAGGAUCAUUACCUAGAGUUGCGGGCUUUGCCUGCCAUCUCUUACCCAUGUCUUUUGAGUACCUUACGUUUCCUCGGCGGGUCCGCCCGCCGACUGGACAAUUUAAACCACUUGCAGUUGCAAUCAGCGUCUGAAAAAACUUAAUAGUUACAACUUUCAACAACGGAUCUCUUGGUUCUGGCAUCGAUGAAGAACGCAGCGAAAUGCGAUAAGUAGUGUGAAUUGCAGAAUUCAGUGAAUCAUCGAAUCUUUGAACGCACAUUGCGCCCCUUGGUAUUCCAUGGGGCAUGCCUGUUCGAGCGUCAUUUGUACCUUCAAGCCUUGCUUGGUGUUGGGUGUUUGUCUCGCCUCUGCGCGUAGACUCGCCUCAAAACAAUUGGCAGCCGGCGUAUUGAUUUCGGAGCGCAGUACAUCUCGCGCUUUGCACUCAGAACGACGACGUCCAAAAGUACAUUUUUACACUCUUGACCUCGGAUCAGGUAGGGAUACCCGCUGAACUUAAGCAUAUCAAU